UACGUAGGUGGCGAGCGUUGUCCGGAUUUACUGGGCGUAAAGAGCGCGCAGGCGGUCGUCCAAGUCGCGUGUGAAAGCCCCCGGCUCAACUGGGGAGGGUCACGCGAUACUGAUCGACUCGAAGGCAGGAGAGGGAAGCGGAAUUCCCGGUGUAGUGGUGAAAUGCGUAGAUAUCGGGAGGAACACCAGUGGCGAAGGCGGCUUCCUGGCCUGUUCUUGACGCUGAGGCGCGAAAGCUAGGGUAGCAAACGGGG
rnacentral:rRNA from 1 species